UCCCCGAUGGUCUAGUGGUCAUGAUGUAAGCUCACACCCCAUCCGCCUCUCAGAGGUGCAACAACGCUAACCUAAUACGAAGUUCCGCUUGUCAACAUGCGAAUGCUGAAAAGCGCGGGAGACCGGGGUUCGAUUCCCCGUCGAGGAG